rnacentral:rRNA from 1 species
AUUGAACGCUGGCGGCAGGCCUAACACAUGCAAGUCGAACGAGUGGCGGACGGGUGAGUAAUGUCUGGGAAACUGCCUGAUGGAGGGGGAUAACUACUGGAAACGGUAGCUAAUACCGCAUACCAUCGGAUGUGCCCAGAUGGGAUUAGCUAGUAUGUGGGGUAACGGCUCACCUAGGCGACGAUCCCUAGCUGGGCUGAGAGGAUGACCGGCCACACUGGAACUUGGACACGGUCCGUACUCCUACGGGAGGCAGCAGUGGGGACUAUUGCACAAUGGGCGCAAGCCUGAUGCAGCCAUGCCGCGUGUAUUAAGAAGGCCUUCGGGUUGUAAAGUACUUUCAGCGGGGAGGCGUUACCCGCAGAAGAAGCACCGGCUAACUCCGUGCCAGCAGCCGCGGUAAUAC